rfam:Triticum urartu cultivar G1812 contig226985, whole genome shotgun sequence.
GUGAAGGUACGUCUAAUUGGUAAGGCAGCCGACUGUAAAUCGGUCAGAUUUAUAUCUACUGGAGGUUCAAGUCCUCCCCGUCACA